UACUGCGCCGAGUGUGUAAGCGGAAACGCCCACAAAAGUUUGUGUUAUAACUUUGAACAACUCGUAGCGCAGUUUU
rnacentral:ncRNA from 1 species